AUCAGGAGCCAGAAAGGGGGGUCUUGUUCACAACCCUAAACCACAAGAAACUCAAGAAAACAAGAGCAAUCAAGUCAAAAGAAUUGGGGCUUUAACUAAAAUCGUGAUCACCUAAGUUAGUAGAUCACAAGACAAAGGAAUUGAAUCUUCAAGCGGACGAGCCGGAGUUGAUGCGCGCUUGAAGGAAAAGCACUAAAGGUGAUGAUGGGGUCGUUCCGGUUGGCGAUCAAGCAUGUUUUGAAAAACCGAACACGAACUUUUGAAGCUUCCGCGUUAAUUUAACUUUGUUUAGACAAUGUUUAUGAUGUAAUCAAUUCACUAAUCAUGUUUGAAUGUUUAAACUAGUUGGUAUUUAACUAGUAUGUGAUCAUUUUAAAACUUCGAUUUUGUA